rnacentral:rRNA from 1 species
GGACUACCAGGGUAUCUAAUCCCGUUUGCUCCCCUGGCUUUCGCGCCUCAGCGUCAGAAGAGGUCCAGCGCGCCGCUUUCGCCACCGGUGUUCCUUUGGAUAUCUACGCAUUUCACCGCUCCACCCAAAGUUCCGCACGCCCCUACCUCCCUCGAGGUGGUCAGUAUCAAAGGCACUUUUCCGGUUGGGCCGAAAGAUUUCACCCCUGACUUGACCGCCCGCCUACGCGCCCUUUAAGCCCAGUGAUUCCGAACAACGUUUGCACGGUUCGUCUUACCGCGGCGGCUGGCAC